GGCGUUGUAGCAAAGUGGUUACUGCGAUUGACUAGAACCAAUCAAUUCAUUGAUUAAUUGCUAUCAAUUCCCUUCGGGGGGUGAGUCUGAUCCACAAAGCCUUGUUUCAAUGCAUCGCUAACAACCUCAAAGCGUAGGUUCGAGUCCUGCCAACGGUU
rnacentral:tRNA from 1 species